CCGAAAAGUCCUCUUUUAUUCUUGAAUCCAUAUUCGUAAUUUUUUGUAUUUGCAUUCUUUGAAAACCUAGAAUAAAUCCUAGAUUUUACUUGUUUGUUUAUUUUUAUGAGCUUAAAUUGAAGCCCUUGAUGUUGUAAUUCUUUGUGGUUGAUGAUUGUAAAGAAGUUUCCAAUGUUUGAUGAUGUAAAUCUUGAGAAAAAUAUUUGGUUAGGGUCGGAUUCACUGUAGAAGUUCGUGGUUACUGUAGCAAUAUUGUAGCACCAACAAACCUUGCUUAAUUCUCUUGCCUCCUUGGUUUGGAAGGAAGCCUAGUUUCAUAGUAACUCUUUGAAAGUCCUUGAAUCCAAGUUUGAGCCAACCUUAGGCCCUUAUAGGGUUACAUUGCACUUAUGCACCUAGAUUUUUCUUGGUACAUCUCUUUGCUCAUUCUUUGGUUCUUUUACUCAUUCUUCUUUGUUGUCCCGCUCUCGUACAUGUUUUGGGUCCGGUGGUGAGAACGCCGCUCGAGGGAAGGAGCCAGUGGAGGAAUAGCACCUUUGGGAAAAAAAAUCUGGUCUUCUAAGUUGUUUUAGUAGUCAGAAGCGUUGCAGCGAGGUGAAGUGCUUAGCAGUUCCUGGUUUUUUAUUGACAUCUUGAGUCUUAUUCUUAUGUUUGUGUGCAGGAGUUGUCAGCCUUGCGGUAACUCAAGGGGUUGUCAGCCUUGCAGGAGUUGCAUGGCGGUAUCCCUCCUCGGGUUCUCGUGGUGGUUGUUGCAUCCAGGGACCCGCGGAUCGAGGUGUGACAAAGGAAAAUUUGGAGUUUAGGGGUAGCUCUAAGGGCAAGCACUUUAUUUGGCUCACGCUUCGGGGUAGAAAUGCCACUUUUGAUUAUCUUUAUAGCAUCAAUUUGGGCCCGAAACUUGUGUACUUUGUAGCCUUACUUUUGAAUCUAUAAAGCACCUACUGGAUGAGUGCCUCAAGGCUCAGCUAGUUUGGAAUAUGCUCAGUACAAAGAUUGGUAAAUGUAUUACCUUCAUUGAUGGUUUCACCUAUAGUUCCUGGCUCACAGGCUGCUCUUAUUCUAUGCACAUCAAGUUUGUUAUUGCAGCGGCUAUUUGGUUUAUUUGGAAAGCAAGAUGUGAUGCUAUUUUUAGACA